rnacentral:rRNA from 1 species
GACGAACGCUGGCGGCGUGCUUAACACAUGCAAGUCGAACGGAAAGGCCCUGCUUUUGUGGGGUGCUCGAGUGGCGAACGGGUGAGUAACACGUGAGUAACCUGCCCUUGACUUUGGGAUAACUUCAGGAAACUGGGGCUAAUACCGGAUAGGAGCUCCUGCUGCAUGGUGGGGGUUGGAAAGUUUCGGCGGUUGGGGAUGGACUCGCGGCUUAUCAGCUUGUUGGUGGGGUAGUGGCUUACCAAGGCUUUGACGGGUAGCCGGCCUGAGAGGGUGACCGGCCACAUUGGGACUGAGCUACGGCCCAGACUCCUACGGGACGCAGCGGUGGGGAAUGUUGCACAAUGGGCGGAAGCCUGCUGCGGCAACGCCGCGUGCGGGAUGACGGCCUUCGGGUUGUAAACCGCUUUCGCCUGUGACGAGGCGUGAGUGACGGUAAUGGGUAAAGAAGCACCGGCUAACUACGUG